UACGUAGGGUGCGAGCGUUAAUCGGAAUUACUGGGCGUAAAGCGUGCGCAGGCGGUUCGUGGGGUCGGUGGUGAAAGCCCCGGGCUUAACCUGGGAAUGGCCAUGGAAACUGGCGAACUGGAGUGUGGCAGAGGGGGGUGGAAUUCCGCGUGUAGCAGUGAAAUGCGUAGAGAUGCGGAGGAACACCGAUGGCGAAGGCGGCUUUCUGGGCCUUACCUGACGCUGAGACGCGAAAGCGUGGGGAGCGAACCGG
rnacentral:rRNA from 1 species